rnacentral:tRNA from 1 species
AACUGGAAAUGCACUACUCUCACACACCACAGUACACAGGUUCGAAUCCAGGUU